UACGUAGGGUGCGAGCGUUGUCCGGAAUUACUGGGCGUAAAGAGCUCGUAGGUGGUUUGUCGCGUUGUUCGUGAAAACUCACAGCUCAACUGUGGGCGUGCGGGCGAUACGGGCAGACUAGAGUACUGCAGGGGAGACUGGAAUUCCUGGUGUAGCGGUGGAAUGCGCAGAUAUCAGGAGGAACACCGGUGGCGAAGGCGGGUCUCUGGGCAGUAACUGACGCUGAGGAGCGAAAGCGUAGGGAGCGAACAGG
rnacentral:rRNA from 1 species